ncrna:Ophiophagus hannah (king cobra) microRNA oha-mir-216 precursor
AAUUGGUUUAAUCUCAGCUGGCAACUGUGAGCAGUUAAUAAAUCCUCUCACAGUGGUAUCUGGGAUUAUACUAAAC